CACAAUCUCACGCCAUAUCCGCUCAAUCCCUUUCUCAUCCUGUCCUCCUCAACGACCCCAACCCUAGCUAGAGGCUGCAUCCUUGCUGCCCGUGAUAUUUCAGAUGGCAUCGUCUUCCUCGUCAACAGGAGCGCGCUGCUCGCGCCAUGGUGUACAUGCUGGCUAUUCCCCCAACCCCUCUCCGAUUCCUUACCGUGAGUAGCCUCUAGCGUACGAGGCAACUGACGAUUGUUGGUGUGCUUGCAAACACAAAGACGCGAGAUGGAUUUCCUGGAGCAGCAAUAAUCCUCGGCGUAGGUAUCUUAAGUGCCAGAGAUCUCGGGUUGCGACUGGUUUAAAUGGUUUGAUGAGCCCACCACGCCGUUUCUUCGGCAACUUUUGGUCGAUUUGCGAGACGCGGUGAACAACUUGAGGGGGGAGAACACUCGGCUCAGGGAAGUCAAUGCUGACUUGGAACAGGGGAUUGAGGAACGAAGCAGCCAAAUGGAUGCAUUGCAAAAUGUAUUGCGCAAUAUGACAGAAGGAAAUAUGGUUGUCCAAGACAAUUUAGGACAAACUGAAAACCUGCUCAAGCAGAAGACCAAACAGCAUCAGCGGAUGCUUUUUAUUGUAGUUUUGAUAGUGAUCUUUCUUAUUAUAUCUAUCAAGCUUGCAGCAUAAUAUGA